rnacentral:rRNA from 1 species
CCUACGGGGGGCAGCAGUGGGGAAUAUUGGACAAUGGGCGAAAGCCUGAUCCAGCCAUGCCGCGUGUGUGAAGAAGGCCUUCGGGUUGUAAAGCACUUUCAGUGGGGAAGAAAGCCUUGGGGCUAAUACCCUCGAGGAAGGACAUCACCCACAGAAGAAGCACCGGCUAACUCCGUGCCAGCAGCCGCGGUAAUACGGAGGGUGCGAGCGUUAAUCGGAAUUACUGGGCGUAAAGCGCGCGUAGGCGGUCUGAUAAGCCGGUUGUGAAAGCCCCGGGCUCAACCUGGGAACGGCAUCCGGAACUGUCAGGCUAGAGUGCAGGAGAGGAAGGUAGAAUUCCCGGUGUAGCGGUGAAAUGCGUAGAGAUCGGGAGGAAUACCAGUGGCGAAGGCGGCCUUCUGGACUGACACUGACGCUGAGGUGCGAAAGCGUGGGUAGCAAACAGGACUAGAUACCCUAGUAGUC